AUCCACAGCGUCCUGCAAGGCUUCAUCCCCGUCUUCCAGAAGUUCAGGCUGACAGAAUUCAGGAAGACUGACUGAGGCCACUGCCAGGUGGGCAGCAGAGGCAGGCCCCAGUGUGACCACCAAUGCAACCCCUGAGCCCACAAGCACAGAGAAGUAUUCUGAGAGACGUGCAGGAGACCAAGCCAGACCAAUAAAGAGAACACCUUUCCUUCCA